rnacentral:tRNA from 1 species
GGAGUCGUGACCGAGUUGGCCGAAGGUGCUUGAUUGCUAAUCAAGUGUGGGGUUUGAAGCUCCACCGAGGGUUCGAAUCCCUCCGACUCCG